GUAGUUCCCUCGCAGGAGCGGCCGCCUGUGCAGGAGACCAGGCUGUGAGGAAGAAAGGAGUGGCUGAUGUCCUGUGAGACGUCUUCUCAGGACUGAAGCCCAACCUUACAGUUAGGAGUUUUUAAACUUCCCACAGUGAGGCCAGGAGCUAAAGUGAUGGAAAUAUGCAAAUCAAUGAGUUGAUGGCGUUAUUGGUAUUUUUUCUGACGAAGGUAAAACCACCCUCCGUUCUCCCCUUCGGCCCUGCCUGUCUGCCACCUUCUCCUACCUGCUCCCCGUCGUCUCUCGCUUUAGUCCUUUUUCCUGGCUCUCUAGAGCCAGACUGCCUGCCUUCAUAUUCGUCUCCGCCACUGAGUGAUUGCAUGACUAAGGAAAUGGCUAACUUGUGUACCUCUCUCCUUUUUUCUUUUUUUUUGGUGAGGAAGAUUGGCCCUGAGCUAACAUCUGUGCCAGUGUUCCUCUAUUUUGUAUGUGGGACACCUCCACAGCGUGGCUGCCAAGGAGUGGUGCUAGGUUGGCACCUGGGAUCAGAACCGUGAACCCCGGGCCACCUAAACCGUGAGCAGGAACUUAACCAUUAUGCCACCUGGCCGGCCCCCUGCACCUCAGUUUUUUUUAUCUGUAAACUAGGGAUGGAAUAGUACCCGCCUCAUAGGAUUAUUUGAAGACAAAGUGAGUUUAUAGUAAGGUGUAUGUAAGAGUGCCUUUCACAUGGUAAAUGCUCAAACGUUAGCUUUGAUACCCUUCUCCCAACGUCGCUCUCCAAAACAGAGAGGUUAGUAAUAAUAACAGGUGUGCACUACUAAAUUGUGAGCUUUUAAUAAAAUUGUGGGCAGGUGCUGCCAUAUCUUAGACUUAUUAGUCUUUGUUCCCCACCCCGCCCAUACUGUGCUGGCACAGUGCCCGUGUAACCUCCGGAAGUGUUUGUUGAAUGACCUCCCAUCAUCAGGAUGCGUAACAAAGUGGCAAUCCAGCAUCCUCCAGGUGUUCUUCUAGUUGUGGUAUGUGGGACGCUGCCUCAGCAUGGUCUGACGAGCAGUGCCAUGUCCGUGCCCAGGAUUCGAACCAACGAAACACUGGGAUGCCUGCAGCGGAGCGCGCGAACUUAACCACUCAGCCGCGGGGCCAGCCCCCUUUAGUGACCAUUUUUAAAGUGAUAACUCUAGUAUUUAAAAGGUACCCGUAUGUCCAUAGUGAUAUUGUGAAGUGUACACAUACCAACUCACAGAUUUGUUUUUCAAGCAAUGCUAGGACUUAGUAGGAGAAAGUAAUGUUCCAGUUCUUUACUGGAGAGAGAAGCUGGUAUUUGAGAGAGUGAAGAGGGAUGGGCAAAACCACAAUGAGAUACCACUUCACAUCCACAAGGAUGGCUAUAAUCAAAAAAGUAGAAAAUAACAAGUGUUAAUGGGGAUAUGGAGAAAUUGGCACUCUCAUCCAUUGCUGGCAGAAAUGUAAGAUGGUGCCUCCACUGUAGAAGAUAGUUUGGCAGUCUGAAAAACUUAAACAUAGAAUUACCUUAUGACCCAGUAAUUCCACUGCUAGCUGUACACCUUGUAUGUGAAUGUUCACAGCGGUACUAUUCACAAUAACAGGAAGGUGGAAAGCACCCAAACGUCCAUCAACAGAUGAAUGGAUAAACAAAAUGUGGUAUGACCAUACAAUGGAAUAUUAUUUAUCAAUAGAAAGAAAUGAAAUGCUAUCCAUGCUGCAAUAUGAAUGAACCUUGGAAACAUUAUACUAAGUGAAAGAAACCAGUCACAAAAAGACCUCAUAUUGUAUGAUUACAUUUAUUUGAAAUAUUUAGAAUAGGCAAGUCUAUGGAGACUAGACUCGCAGUUGCUUGGAGCUGAGACGCACGGGAGAGGGGUAUAGAUGAGUGACGGCUAAAGAGUGUGGGGUUUCUUUUUCAGCUGAUAAAGAUGUUCUAAAACUGAUGAUGAUUGCACAUAUCUGGAAUAUACUAAAAACUAUUGAACUGGUCACUUUAAAUGGAUGAAUUGUAAAUCAGUGAAUUAUGUCUCCAUAAAGCUGUUAAAAGAUUUUAAAAAGAGUGAUGGGAAACAUUCUUUUCAAGUCCUGUAAAUAUAUACAUGUAGUUAUAUAGACAUACUGCAAUGUUAUUAGGGAAAAGUAAUAAGCAAUAUGGCUUAAAUUUAUUUUUAAUAAUCUGUAAUUAAAAAUACGUAAAAUACAGGGCUGGCCCAGUAGCGUGGCGGUUAAGUUCUCACAAUUUGCUUCUGCGCUGGGCUUUGCCAGUGCAAAUCCUGGGCGUGGACCUACGCACCACUUAUAAAGCCAUGCUUUGGCAAGCAUCCCACAUAUAAAAGUAGAGAAAGAUGGGCAUGGAUGUUAGCUCAGGGCCAAUCUUCCUAAAAAAAAAAAAAAGUAAGGUACUUUAACUACAGAUUUGAUCAUCUUCAACAAACGUUUCCAUGCCUCUUUUAUGCCUGAUGAUGUAAUUUGUGCUGUAAAGGACACAACCGUUUUCGUAUUCAUUCAGCAAAUAUUUAUUGAGCGCCUACCAUGUUACAGGUACCAUUGUAAGGAUUGGUGAUCCCUGUCCUCAUGAAGCUUAUUUUCUAGUGAGAGCAAAGAACGAAAUUA
ensembl:lncRNA